rnacentral:rRNA from 1 species
AUGUGUUUCCCAAAAGAUAAAGGUGGUAUGGGAUUUAGAGACCUACAUGCCUUUAAUCUAGCUAUGUUAGCUAAACAGAGUUGGAGAAUGAUCACUAAUCUAGAAACACUUUGUGCAAAAGUUCUGAGAGCAAAGUAUUUCCCAGAUGGGAACCUAUUGAAGGCUGAUCCAAAAUAG